CGUGUGGGGCGGCAAUGGCGGCGCUCGGGCCCGGCUUUGGCGGUGGCAGGGCCCGUGAGGAAGCGGCGCUGGAGCCGGGCCCGGGGCAGCCCGGAAGCCGCCGGCAGCCCACGGCCUGUGGAGGGGUCCCGCAGGCUCCGCUCAGGCCGUGUGUGAUGAAGGAGAGAGGGCGGGCGUCUGGCGACGGUGCCUUGUUGUGGUGCCGUGCGCCUUGGUAACCCUGCCGGGGUUGGGAUUAGCCGUGCUGUGGGUGCCGGCUCGUUUCGGCUUCCUGGCUGCUUGUUAACCAUUUUUUCCCUUCUGGAUUUCUAUAUAUUCCUCGGCCGGCGUGCCUACUCGUGUUUGUGCUGCCUUUUGCUAAUACAACGAUAACGCUCUUUAGUUUAGGCUUUAGACAAGUGUAUGAGGCUUUUCUUCCUUCGUUAUGUUUGUUGUGUUGGUGCUCAGCUGAUGGCCUCAGAGCAGGGAAAAGAGGUAAACGAAGCUAGCUGUGGUCUUUUUCCUUUUCAGGAGUCCCUUAAUAAAAUGGAUGGCAUAACCCAAGCAGUAAGGAAGAGAUCAUCUCUUUGUGGGGUUGCUCAGGAACCUGCUUCUAAUGUUGUGAAGGUUUGAUGCCCUAAAGAAGCCAUAGAGUUGGUGUGGACUAGUGGACUGGUGCAGAGGCAAAAUCAUUAUGUUCUAAUCAUGUUUCAUUGAAGGCAAAGCUUUGGGCAAAAUAUCCAUAUCUCUUGUGGCAGAGAUCCAGGAGGUAGCCAAGUCUGCUGCAGAGAGCCACUAAUGCAACAGGAAGAGUGGGAAAACCACACAGACUUGACCUUAGUGGUUAAAACAGAAGCCAGUGCAGAUGGAAAAUGCAGUGAAGAGAUGCUUUCAGAAGCAACCAGGAGGAGCUGCCUGCUUCCCCACAAGAACAAACCUCUAAACAGAGCCACUUGUGAGCAUCAGCUUGCAAGUCUUGUUUGAAGAUGCAGUUGAGAUGCUACUCUGACUUCCUGCUAGAAGGUACAAACUGGCCUGAACAGCAAGCAAAAAAAAAAAAAAAAAAAAAAAAAAGAAAUAUCGCAUAAGGGUGAAAACCACAACAGAAGAACUGUAAAAUAGGUUUCCUGUAGCAACAUACAACCCUAUGAGCUGCCCAAUUUCAGACAGCAAAGAGGGAACAUUUGCUGGUUCAGGUUGCUUUGUUCUACUCUUGCAGAAAACCUGGGAUCAUUUUGGAAAUGGGAAGAAACAAGCCAUAAAUUAGAUUUGUGUUUUGGUUUAUAAUUUUUAAUAAAAGCACAACAAAGAGUAAGACAGUACAUGGUGGUUUUGUGGCUGUAUCUGCAUUUAGACUAUUUUUCUGGUUAAGUAGGUACAUUGUAGUUACCAUUUAUGUAUAUUAAUAUAAUUGUGAUUACCCCCUGUUGCCACAUUUGAUCUGUGAAAAUAAAUAGGAUUUGUCAGUAUCCCCUCUUCUUCCCCUUCCUCCCCUACGUGAUUCAGAAC